UACGUAGGUGUCGAGCGUUGUCCGGAUUUACUGGGCGUAAAGAGCGCGCAGGCGGUCGUUCAAGUCGCGUGUGAAAGCCCCCGGCUCAACUGGGGAGGGUCACGCGAUACUGAUCGACUCGAAGGCAGGAGAGGGAAGUGGAAUUCCCGGUGUAGUGGUGAAAUGCGUAGAUAUCGGGAGGAACACCAGUGGCGAAGGCGACUUCCUGGCCUGUUCUUGACGCUGAGGCGCGAAAGCUAGGGGAGCAAACGGG
rnacentral:rRNA from 1 species